GCUCCGCGCUAGCAGCCCCAGAUCCCGCGUCGCUGGGAGUGUUGGCGGCGAGCGCUGUGUGCGAGCCGAGGCCGCCGCCAGAGGAGGAGCCGCGAGCGCUGAGACCCCAGAGCCAUCUUUUGUCCUAUUUUUCCAGAAGAGAGGGAGAAAUCCCAAUGAGGGAAGUGACUUGACCAACUUACUCAGCUGGUCAGUGCAGAAGCAGAAGCUGGAUCGAGGAGCUCCUGACUGCCCACCUGGUGCUUUUCCCCUCAGCCACAUAUCCUGUUUCUCCACUGGAGUAAAAAUAAAAGUUUCUCUGUCAUUCGCAGAAAAAUGGAUCAUUUAAAUCUUUGGAGGACUCAAUUAUCACAAUACUUCUAUGCUACCAAUUAAGAUUUAUGACAGUAAAUUUAUGACAAUACGUUUCAGCAUCAUAGAACUGCUGAAGAACAAAAAGAGGAUAUUCUUUUAUAAGAAAAAUCCUGUAGUAUCAUGAUAAUGCUAAAUAAAAAGCACAAUUAUUAAAUUAUUAGACUU